AAGAAGAACAACGUGUUGACAAUCAAAGACUUGAGAGCUUUUACAUACACUUGAACAGCCCUCCUUAAAGACACCUAUGGAUUAGGCUAGCCAGCUAGUCUAUGUGUUUUGUGGGAGUGGCUUUGGAGGGAGGUCUGAAAGUUCUGCACGCUUGAGGGAGGAUCUCAGUGUUUAGACGUGGUUCUGGUUAGACUUACUGGGAACGACUCUUGCUCCACCAUGAGGGAGACCGACUGAUCCUGGUCGAACAACUCCUCCAGCUCCUUGGGAAACCUGUACCGGUGAUAACAGAAACAACAUGCAUUCAACACUUCGUCAAAACCCAGGAAGACAAAGGAACUUUUUGCCUGUCGGGACGGGAAAGUAGUUCCCCGUGGCCAUGAACAUCAAGGUGCACCCAACGGCCCACACAUCAACAGGCCUAGAUGUCGAAGAAGAAGCAGACCAAACGUGAUGUAGUUAGAGCUGUAGUGAUGCUAUGCUGAGACAGAGGUGUGCCAUAGUGUCCGUCCAUGCCCCCAGUUGAAGAUACCCACUUGUUGUACUCCGGGUCCAUCACCAGCAUCUCUGGUGCGCUGAACUCCUUCGUGCCCGCAUCCCGUGUGAGCGGUUCGGCAGCAUCAUUGGUCGCGCGGGCGUCGCCAAAGUCGGCCAACUUGAUGACUCCCGAGUGCGAGACCAGCAGGUUAUCCGGCUUGAUGUCUCGGUGCAUUAUCUGGUGGAGCAAACGUCAAGUGGAAGACAAGCUUUAGAACACUUUUAUAAAGGAGGUAAGCUGUACAGUUUGAACGUCUGAAGUAGAAAUAAAACAAAUAAAGCCACAGGCGACCAAAGGGAAAUAGAUGCAAAAAAAAAAAAAAAUGGCAUUAUUAUUAUAAGUAUAAUUGUUGUUAUUAUUAUUAACAAAAUAAAAUAAAUGUAGGCUAUUUGAAUAAUGUUAUAAGUAAAUAUUCACAUUGUGGCUGUGGAUGAAGUCUACUGCUCUGAGGAUCUGGAAACUGUAUUUCUUGAUCUUCAGCCUCUCCAGACCGCAGCCAGAAACUUGAACUUUCUUUUUCACCUCGUCAAAAACGCUCUGGUCGAGGAGCUCAAAGAUGGCAUACAUGCGCUCGCCGUGGAUGAACGCUGUCAGCAGUCGGACGACAUUGUCGUGCUUCAACACCUGUUGACCAGAGAAAAAUUCACCAAGAUGUAUUUGACGCGUUCAUGUGCUGUAAUUGGAGAACACUCCCACUAGGUGGAGCUAAAGGUCCUUACCGACAGCGGCGAGAGUUCCCGCUGAAAGACGAGGUGCGUUUCAACCAAGGUAGAGAACUUUUUCAUGGCGAAGAAGUUCCCUGAAUAAAGGCUUCUACAUUUGAGUACCUCUCCAAAUCCACCACUGCCAAGAUGCUCAAAAACUUCGUAGUUUUCCAUAUCUGAUAUCCAAGAAGUUAUAGAAAUCUGGACGGGGAAGGUUUAUAAAAUCAGAAAAACUAACUUUAUGUUAUUUGCUUUAGAAAAAAACAAUAUAUGGUCUAUAA